rnacentral:rRNA from 1 species
GACGAACGCUGGCGGCGUGCCUAAUACAUGCAAGUAGAACGAGUGGCGAACGGGUGAGUAACGCGUGGGAACCUGCCUCAUAGCGGGGGAUAACUAAUGGAAACGGUAGCUAAUACCGCAUAGCAACAGAUGUGCCCAGAUGGGAUUAGCUUGUUGGUUGGGUAACGGCUCAACAAGGCGACGAUCCCUAGCUGGUCUGAGAGGAUGACCAGCCACACUGGAACUGAGACACGGUCCAGACUCCUACGGGAGGCAGCAGUGGGGAAUAUUGCACAAUGGGCGCAAGCCUGAUGCAGCCAUGCCGCGUGUAUGAAGAAGGCCUUCGGGUUGUAAAGUACUUUCAGCGGGGAGGCGUUACCCGCAGAAGAAGCACCGGCUAACUCCGUGCCAGCCGCCGCGGUAAUAC